UACGGGGGGAGCAAGCGUUGUUCGGAUUUACUGGGCGUAAAGGGCGCGUAGGCGGCCACCGCAAGUCAAUUGUGAAAUCUCCGGGCUUAACUCGGAAAGGUCAACUGAUACUGCGGGGCUAGAGUGCGGAAGGGGCAACUGGAAUUCUCGGUGUAGCGGUGAAAUGCGUAGAUAUCAGGAAGAACACCGGUGGCGAAGGCGCUCUGCUAGGCCGUAACUGACACUGAGGGACGAAAGCUAGGGGAGCGAAUGGG
rnacentral:rRNA from 1 species